rnacentral:lncRNA from 1 species
CUCAAGAGGGUCGUAUGAACUCCAUUAAACUUGCUUGCACUUUUCUUUACUGGAUCUACAUGGAGUCUCUGUCUCCCUCAACUGAAGUAUUUGAGGAAACCAAAAUACAAAAGUAAGUUGAAAAGGGGCUAUAUUGGAAUGAUGCUUUAGCUUUUUUUUUAUUUCCUUGAUCUUGUUUAAUUAAUUUGCUGCUUGUGACGAGGAUUGCUUACCGUCCUCUUUGCUAUCAAGCAGGUGAUAUCAAAGAGGUCUGCCGAGAGGCUCUCUGUUUCUUUGCUAUCAAGCAACGGAGGAUACAUCAGCCACGUGCGACCUAUCCGCGGUUCGCAAUAGCCGAAGUCAAAUUAUUAACUACUACCUCCGGUUCAUUAUAUUUGAUGUUUCAGGCACCUCCUUUGGCCUGUGACUAGUUCUUUUUACUUAAAAGAAUCGGAGGU